rnacentral:rRNA from 1 species
CAAGUGAAUAAGCGCAUACGGUGGAUGCCUUGGCAGUCAGAGGCGAUGAAAGACGUGGUAGCCUGCGAAAAGCUCCGGGGAGUCGGCAAACAGACUUUGAUCCGGAGAUGUCUGAAUGGGGAAACCCACCUGUCAUAAGACAGGUAUCUUGUACUGAAUCCAUAGGUGCAAGAGGCGAACCAGGGGAAGUGAAACAUCUCAGUACCCUGAGGAACAGAAAUCAACCGAGAUUCCCUUAGUAGUGGCGAGCGAACGGGGACCAGCCCUUAAGCUUCUUUAAAUCUAGUAGAACGCUCUGGAAAGUGCGGCCAUAGUGGGUGAUAGCCCCGUAUACGAAAGGUUUAUAGAAGUGAAAACGAGUAGGACGGCGCACGUGAAACGUUGUCUGAAGAUGGGGGGACCAUCCUCCAAGGCUAAAUACUACUGACUGACCGAUAGUGAACCAGUACCGUGAGGGAAAGGCGAAAAGAACCCCGGAGAGGGGAGUGAAAUAGAACCUGAAACCGUAUGCGUACAAGCAGUGGGAGCCUACUUUGUUAGGUGACUGCGUACCUUUUGUAUAAUGGGUCAGCGACUUAUAUUCAGUGGCGAGCUUAACCGAAUAGGGGAGGCGUAGCGAAAGCGAGUCUUAAUAGGGCGUUUAGUCGCUGGGUAUAGACCCGAAACCGGGCGAUCUAUCCAUGGGCAGGUUGAAGGUUAGGUAACACUGACUGGAGGACCGAACCGACUACCGUUGAAAAGUUAGCGGAUGACCUGUGGAUCGGAGUGAAAGGCUAAUCAAGCUCGGUGAUAGCUGGUUCUCCUCGAAAGCUAUUUAGGUAGCGCCUCAUGUAUCACUCUGGGGGGUAGAGCACUGUUUCGGCUAGGGGGUCAUCCCGACUUACCAACCCGAUGCAAACUCCGAAUACCCAGAAGUGCCGAGCAUGGGAGACACACGGCGGG